GACGAACGCUGGCGGCGUGCCUAACACAUGCAAGUCGAGCGAUGAAGUUUCCUUCGGGAAAUGGAUUAGCGGCGGACGGGUGAGUAACACGUGGGUAACCUGCCUCAUAGAGGGGAAUAGCCUCCCGAAAGGGAGAUUAAUACCGCAUAAUAUUACAAUUACGCAUGAAACAGUAAUUAAAGGAGCAAUCCGCUAUGAGAUGGACCCGCGGCGCAUUAGCUAGUUGGUGAGGUAACGGCUCACCAAGGCGACGAUGCGUAGCCGACCUGAGAGGGUGAUCGGCCACAUUGGGACUGAGACACGGCCCAGACUCCUACGGGAGGCAGCAGUGGGGAAUAUUGCACAAUGGGGGAAACCCCGAUGCAGCAACGCCGCGUGAGUGAUGACGGUCUUCGGAUUGUAAAGCUCUGUCUUUGGGGACGAUAAUGACGGUACCCAAGGAGGAAGCCACGGCUAACUACGUGCCAGCCGCCGCAGUAACAC
rnacentral:rRNA from 1 species